CGGACAUAUAGCGUUGAAACAUCGGUUCCCGUACGAUCAAGUUAAGCAACGUCGAAACUGGUCAGUACAUAGAUGGGUGACUACUUGGGAAUACCAGGUGCUGUAA